CCAGUAAUGCCACUUCUGAGGAAAUAGCCAGAAAUGCUGACAAAGAAGAAAGCAGAAAUGAAGCUUGGUUUCCUUAAUGCCAUGACUGAAGGAAACUAGGAUCAAUGAAGGAAGAGGAAACAAAUGGACAGACACAGGUGUCAAAGAUCUCAGAUGGUAAUUUAAAUAGCAGUACUCAUAGAUAAAGAUGUGUCAACUGCCAAACAACUAUGAGAGCCAUGCACUUUGGUGAAAUAUGAAGCAGUCAUGGCGCCACUGAGCUACAUCCUCGGUCCUGUCUAAAGUCUUAAGAAGCAUUUGAGAGACAUCUUUCAAUCCUUGUGGAGCAGAAAUGAUGAAUCACAUUUUAUUCAGGACCAGCAUGGGAGCGAUCAUGAAGAUAUAUUCUGGGUGCUCAUGGUUCCAGUACUGAAGAAGGAGGCAAAUAUCUUUUAGAAUCUGCUGUUAAAAGGAAAACUGUAUUUCAUAAAUCUGGCUUGAAAGUAGCUGCCUUGGAAUGAAAGCCCCCAACAGCCAAGACAGCGAGGGCAUCUGUGUCUGCCAGGAUCUCUUCCUUCUUCCAUUUUACCCUGUGUGAGGAGGAAUUAGCUCAUUACACACAGAAGUGCUGUGGUGUCUGUCUUUGGGAAUCUGUCCUCUUUGUUUCAUGGAGGUUUCCCAGCCUUACUCACAGUGAAAUGAUGCCCAAAAAUGUGGUAGACGUGUAACUCUAGUGUUGACCGUAUUUUCAAAAUACUUCUUUAAAUAGUGCCCAUGUAUUUCUAGCUGGUGAAUAAAUUAGAAUGUAAUCCUUAUUCAUGCUGAAGAGUCCACAGUCAUUUCCUCAGCUAUGCUUGCUGCAGCUUAUCUUUAAGUCAUUAUACAGCUGGUUGUUAGGUGCAUCUUUGGUCAGAAAGCUGCUGAACCUGGGGAAAGAUGAAAGCUCAGGCAAGAGCUGAAGGCGUCAGCAAAAGGCAUUUUGACAAACAUUUGAUCAUUUCUCAUAAUGAUCAUUUCUCAAGCUGGGAGCU